rnacentral:rRNA from 1 species
CCUACGGGGGGCAGCAGUGAGGAAUAUUGGUCAAUGGGCGAGAGCCUGAACCAGCCAAGUCGCGUGAGGGAGUACUGCCCUAUGGGUUGUAAACCUCUUUUGUCGGGGAGCAAAAGCCGGACGUGUCCGGCUGUGAGAGUACCCGAAGAAAAAGCAUCGGCUAACUCCGUGCCAGCAGCCGCGGUAAUACGGAGGAUGCGAGCGUUAUCCGGAUUUAUUGGGUUUAAAGGGUGCGCAGGCGGAAUUUUAAGUCAGCGGUAAAAUCGUGGGGCUCAACCCCAUCCAGCCGUUGAAACUGGGGAUCUAGAGUGUGCGAGAGGUAUGCGGAAUGCGUGGUGUAGCGGUGAAAUGCAUAGAUAUCACGCAGAACCCCGAUUGCGAAGGCAGCAUACCGGUGCACAACUGACGCUCAGGCACGAAAGCGUGGGUAUCGAACAGGAUUAGAUACCCCGGUAGUC